GUCCCUCUGGCUCUAACUUGACCGCCACCUCCGUCUGCUCCUCCGCCAGCGCCGCCAUCUUGCGGCUGAGCCACCUCGCGCCGUCAAGCGUGAUUGCGUUUUCACCACAUGGAGGGCGGGGAGGAGCGUUUUACGACACAUUGGGAAGGCACUAUACGGCAGUAGGAGGGGCGAGAAGGGAGGAGAAAAAGAACAGGAGCGAGAGCAGUUUUCGAAAGCGAGUGACAGAAAGGCAGGAAGUGGGAGGUGGCGACCGCCUGUAACAUUUGACUGUGACUCAACCGGGACCCAAAGAGGUUAAACAACUUACUUGCCACAGUCACGCAGGAAGAAAGUGAAAGCGUCAAGAUUCGAAUCCAGGUCUCUAACUCAGAAGCAUAUCCCAUAGCCAGAAGAAGUCUUCUGAGAUACUGGGUCUACCUUUCAACUACCUUUGUCUCUUAAGUGCAAAAAAGUGUGGAUUGGGACUUCAGACAAGGUUACUUCAAAUAGAUUGGUUUUCCUGUUAUGCCACAAUAGAGAUAAGUAUAUUGAGUAACUGCAAGGCCCACUUUUAAUUUUUGUUGCUCUUUUCCCCUGUCUUUUUAAUCCCUACUCCCAUUCUUCUAUUCUCUUCCUGGGAUGUUUUAAGAAGUCUAGUGUCAAUCUGUAUCUUUUUCCUUUACAGAAGAGCUACUCUUUCUCUCUGAAUGUUUCUUUUUCUUCUUCCAUGUUAUUUCAUUUUACUUUAAUGUAAAGUAAAGUAAACAUAAAGCCACUGGUGGCUCAGUGGUUGAGCGUCUGCCUUCCGCUCAGGGUGUGAUCCCAGGAUCCAAGGAUCGAAUCCCACUUCGGGCUCCUUGCAGGGAGCCUGCUUCUCUCCCCCCCCCCCCCCCGCCCCCAUGAAUAAAUAAAUCUUUUUUUAAAAGUCUAUCUCCCUGAAAGCUUGUUUCUACCCACUUUUUCUUCCUUUGAUAAUAUCUGUAUUCCAGCCUUUAACAAAUAUCAUCAUUUUUCCUACAAAAAUAAGCCACAUCAUAGAAAGGAGAACAAAGAAAAACUAUAUUAAUCCCAAUACUCUAACAUAACAUGGAUAUCAUUGUGUCACUAUUUUUUUCACAAUUGUAACCAUAUGUAUUUCUAUCAUGUUAUUAUAGCCUUCAUAACCAUCAUUUUAAUGAUUGCACAGAAUUCUAACAGAGACAGUCAUAAUUUUUCAUGACUUAUUUAAUCAUUUCCUCACUGAAAAAUAUUUAAAUUAUGCCCCAAUCAUACCAUAAACAAUGAUAAACUACUUUUUCAUUUAUUUCUUAGGUAGAGACUCCCAGAGCAGGAUUGCUAAAAGAUAAAAAGGUGUAAACACUUUUCAAAGUCUUGAUAUAUGGGGGAUCCCUGGGUGGCUCAGCGGUUUAGCACCUGCCUUCGGCCCAGGGCGUGAUCCUGGAGUCCUGGGAUCAAGUCCCAUGUUGGGCUCCCUGCAUGGAGCCUGCUUCUCCCUCUGCCUGUGUCUCUGCCCCUCUCUCUCUCUCUCUCUCUCUCUCUCUCUCUCUCUUUCUGUCUCUCAUGAAUAAAUAAAAUCUUAAAAAAAAAAAACCUUGAUAUGUGUUAACAAGUUGCUUUGUUUAAAGUUGUACUAAUUAAACUGUCCUUAGCAAUAAGAGGGCCUAUUUUCAUGGCAUCCUUAUGUUUCAUUGUUUACCAUUGCUUAAAAUAAAAUAAUAAGUUGUUUCAAAUGUGACCAAAAUGUAAAUGUUUAUACCUUGAGACCCACCAAUUCCAAUGCUAGAAUUAUGGAAAUAAUCUGGUAAGCAUGUGCAAGGAUCUCCACUAUAGACUAUGACAGUGUGAUA